rnacentral:rRNA from 1 species
AUUGAACGCUGGCGGCAGGCCUAACACAUGCAAGUCGAACGAGUGGCGGACGGGUGAGUAAUGUCUGGGAAACUGCCUGAUGGAGGGGGAUAACUACUGGAAACGGGCGCUAAUACCGCAUACUAUCAGAUGAGCCUAGGUCGGAUUAGCUAGUUGGUGGGGUAAAGGCCUACCAAGGCGACGAUCCGUAACUGGUCUGAGAGGAUGAUCAGUCACACUGGAACUGAGACACGGUCCAGACUCCUACGGGAGGCAGCAGUGGGGAAUAUUGGACAAUGGGCGAAAGCCUGAUCCAGCCAUGCCGCGUGUAUGAAGAAGGCCUUCGGGUUGUAAAGUACUUUCAGCGGGGAGGCGUUACCCGCAGAAGAAGCACCGGCUAACUCCGUGCCAGCAGCCGCGGUAAUAC